AUGCAAGUCGAACGAUGAUCCCAGCUUGCUGGGGGAUUAGUGGCGAACGGGUGAGUAACACGUGAGUAACCUGCCCUUAACUCUGGGAUAAGCCUGGGAAACUGGGUCUAAUACCGGAUAUGACUCCUCAUCGCAUGGUGGGGGGUGGAAAGCUUUAUUGUGGUUUUGGAUGGACUCGCGGCCUAUCAGCUUGUUGGUGAGGUAAUGGCUCACCAAGGCGACGACGGGUAGCCGGCCUGAGAGGGUGACCGGCCACACUGGGACUGAGACACGGCCCAGACUCCUACGGGAGGCAGCAGUGGGGAAUAUUGCACAAUGGGCGAAAGCCUGAUGCAGCGACGCCGCGUGAGGGAUGACGGCCUUCGGGUUGUAAACCUCUUUCAGUAGGGAAGAAGCGAAAGUGACGGUACCUGCAGAAGAAGCGCCGGCUAACUACGUGCCAGCAGCCGCGGUAAUACGUAGGGCGCAAGCGUUAUCCGGAAUUAUUGGGCGUAAAGAGCUCGUAGGCGGUUUGUCGCGUCUGCCGUGAAAGUCCGGGGCUCAACUCCGGAUCUGCGGUGGGUACGGGCAGACUAGAGUGAUGUAGGGGAGACUGGAAUUCCUGGUGUAGCGGUGAAAUGCGCAGAUAUCAGGAGGAACACCGAUGGCGAAGGCAGGUCUCUGGGCAUUAACUGACGCUGAGGAGCGAAAGCAUGGGGAGCGAACAGGAUUAGAUACCCUGGUAGUCCAUGCCGUAAACGUUGGGCACUAGGUGUGGGGGACAUUCCACGUUUUCCGCGCCGUAGCUAACGCAUUAAGUGCCCCGCCUGGGGAGUACGGCCGCAAGGCUAAAACUCAAAGGAAUUGACGGGGGCCCGCACAAGCGGCGGAGCAUGCGGAUUAAUUCGAUGCAACGCGAAGAACCUUACCAAGGCUUGACAUGAACCGGAAAGACCUGGAAACAGGUCCCCCGCUUGCGGUCGGUUUACAGGUGGUGCAUGGUUGUCGUCAGCUCGUGUCGUGAGAUGUUGGGUUAAGUCCCGCAACGAGCGCAACCCUCGUUCUAUGUUGCCAGCGCGUUAUGGCGGGGACUCAUAGGAGACUGCCGGGUCANUCGGAGGAAGGUGGGGACGACGUCAAUCAUCAUGCCCCUU
rnacentral:rRNA from 1 species